CAAUAGCGUAUAUUAACGUUGUUGCAGUUAAAAAGCUCGUAGUUGGAUUUGUGGCGGUUCCUGUGGUCCAAUUUUGGUACUUGCGGGGACUGCCAUCCUUGGGUGGAUCCUGUGUGGCAUUAGGUUGUCGUGCAGGGGAUACCCAUCGUUUACUGUGAAAAAAUUAGAGUGUUCAAAGCAGGCUUACGCCGAUGAAUAGAUUAGCAUGGAAUAAUGAGAUAGGACCUCGGUACUAUUUUGUUGGUUUGCGCACUGGGGUAAUGAUUAACAGGGACAGUUGUGGGUAUUCGUAUUGCAUUGUCAGAGGUGAAAUUCUUGGAUUUCUGCAAGACGAACUAAUGCGAAAGCAUUUACCAAGGAUGUUUUCAUUA
rnacentral:rRNA from 1 species